UACGGAGGGGGCUAGCGUUGUUCGGAAUUACUGGGCGUAAAGCGCACGUAGGCGGAUUUGUAAGUCAGGGGUGAAAUCCCGGGGCUCAACCUCGGAACUGCCUUUGAUACUGCAAAUCUCGAGUCCGGAAGAGGUGAGUGGAAUUCCUAGUGUAGAGGUGAAAUUCGUAGAUAUUAGGAAGAACACCAGUGGCGCAGGCGGCUCACUGGUCCGGUACUGACGCUGAGGUGCGAAGGCGUGGGGAGCAAACAGG
rnacentral:rRNA from 1 species